rnacentral:piRNA from 1 species
UAAACAAAAACUCAAUGCCAAGUGAAGAAAAA